rnacentral:lncRNA from 1 species
UUUGCAUGUAAAACUCUCUUCGUCCCUGAUAUGAAUCCAUCGGGACUUCCCCUUAGCAUUUUGUUGGGUUUUAAUCCAACAAAAUACACCGGGAGAAGCUGAUAUACGACUAUACGAGUCAACCUUGUCAAGAAUUGGAAGCUAAUAUACACCGGGAAAAGCUGAUAUACGACUAUAUAAACUGUUAUACAGUGUUAUGUACAACUGAAAAGAGGCCCAAACCAGCAGAAAUUUUUCAAAAGAAGCUGAAAAGGGAAAUAAAAUUGGCCCAAUAUUUUUGGGCAGCAAUAGUUUAGGCCUGAAAGGCCCAAACUCUCGCUCUUUGUCCCCCCUUUCUCAUGAUUAUUGGAUUGUAUUUAGUUAUUUUUGUUUUGAUUAAUUCUAACUUUGAAUACUUAAAAAACUACAUAGGUUUAAAGUGAAGCUUUACCAUGAACUAAUACUUAUUUGAUUUUUUGAAUACUUGUAUAUUAUUCUUUUUAAUAGGGC